GACGAACCGUGCUAACGUUAUUCGGAAUCACUGGGCUUAAAGGGCGCGUAGGCGGUCUGCCAAGUCAGGGGUGAAAUCCUUCGGCUUAACCGGAGAAGUGCCUUUGAUACUGGCGGACUUGAGGGAGGUAGGGGCAGAUGGAACUGGUGGUGGAGCGGUGAAAUGUGUAGAUAUCACUAGGAACGCCGGUGGCGAAAGCGAUCUGCUGGAUCUAUACUGACGCUGAGGCGCGAAAGCCAGGGGAGCAAACGGG
rnacentral:rRNA from 1 species